AUUGAACGCUGGCGGCAGGCCUAACACAUGCAAGUCGAACGGUAACAGGGAUCAGCUUGCUGAUUCGCUGACGAGUGGCGGACGGGUGAGUAAUGUCUGGGAAACUGCCUGAUGGAGGGGGAUAACUACUGGAAACGGUAGCUAAUACCGCAUAACGUCGCAAGACCAAAGAGGGGGACCUUCGGGCUUCUUGCCAUCGGAUGUGCCCAGAUGGGAUUAGCUAGUAGGUGGGGUAACGGCUCACCUAGGCGACGAUCCCUAGCUGGUCUGAGAGGAUGACCAGCCACACUGGAACUGAGACACGGUCCAGACUCCUACGGGAGGCAGCAGUGGGGAAUAUUGCACAAUGGGCGCAAGCCUGAUGCAGCCAUGCCGCGUGUAUGAAGAAGGCCUUCGGGUUGUAAAGUACUUUCAGCGGGGAGGAAGGGAGUAAAGUUAAUACCUUUGCUCAUUGACGUUACCCGCAGAAGAAGCACCGGCUAACUCCGUG
rnacentral:rRNA from 1 species